AGUCUAACGAGACCGUACCGCAAACCGACACAGGUGGGCGAGAUGAGUAUUCUAAGGCGCUUGAGAGAACUCGGGAGAAGGAGCUCGGCAAAUUGGUACCGUAACUUCGGGAUAAGGUACGCCCUUGUAGCUUGACUGGCCUGCGCCAGAAGGGUGAGAGGGUUGCAAUAAACUGGUGGCUGCGACUGUUUAAUAAAAACACAGCACUCUGCAAACACGAAAGUGGACGUAUAGGGUGUGACGCCUGCCCGGUGCCGGAAGAUUAAAUGAUGGGGUGCAAGCUCUUGAUUGAAGUCCCGGUAAACGGCGGCCGUAACAAUAACGGUCCUAAGGUAGCGAAAUUCCUUGUCGGGUAAGUUCCGACCUGCACGAAUGGCGUAACGAUGGCCACACUUCUCCUCCCGAGACUCAGCGAAGUUGAAGUGUUUGUGAUGAUGCAAUCUACCCGCGGCUAGACGGAAAGACCCCAUGAACCUUUACUGUAGCUUCGCAUUGGACUGUGAACCGAUCUGUGUAGGAUAGGUGGGAGGCUAUGAAAGCGGAACGCUAGUUUCGCUGGAGCCGUCCUUGAAAUACCACCCUGGUUUGUUUGCGGUUCUAACCUUGGCCCGUAAUCCGGGUCGGGGACAGUGCAUGGUAGGCAGUUUGACUGGGGCGGUCUCCUCCCAAAGUGUAACGGAGGAGUACGAAGGUACGCUAGGUACGGUCGGAAAUCGUGCUGAUAGUGCAAUGGCAUAAGCGUGCUUAACUGCGAGACCGACAAGUCGAGCAGGUGCGAAAGCAGGUCAUAGUGAUCCGGUGGUUCUGUAUGGAAGGGCCAUCGCUCAACGGAUAAAAGGUACUCUGGGGAUAACAGGCUGAUACCGCCCAAGAGUUCAUAUCGACGGCGGUGUUUUGCACCUCGAUGUCGGCUCAUCUCAUCCUGGGGCUGUAGCCGGUCCCAAGGGUAUGGCUGUUCGCCAUUUAAAGAGGUACGUGAGCUGGGUUUAAAACGUCGUGAGACAGUUUGGUCCCUAUCUGCCGUGGGCGUUGGAUAUUUGAAGGGGGCUGCUCCUAGUACGAGAGGACCGGAGUGGACGAACCUCUGGUGUACCGGCUGUCACGCCAGUGGCAUCGCCGGGUAGCUAUGUUCGGAAGAGAUAACCGCUGAAAGCAUCUAAGCGGGAAACUCGCCUUAAGAUGAGAUAUCCCUGGGGCUUCAAGCCCCUUGAAGGGUCGUUCGAGACCAGGACGUUGAUAGGUCAGGUGUGGAAGCGCAGUAAUGCGUUAAGCUAACUGAUACUAAUUGCCCGUAAGGCUUGAAAG
rnacentral:rRNA from 1 species